rnacentral:rRNA from 1 species
CCUACGGGAGGCAGCAGUGGGGGAUAUUGUACAAUGGGGGGAACCCUGAUGCAGCGACGCCGCGUGGGUGAAGAAGCGCCUCGGCGCGUAAAGCCCUUUCAGCAGGGGAGAAAAUGACGGUACCUGAAGAGGAAGCCCCGGCUAACUACGUGCCAGCAGCCGCGGUAAUACGUAGGGGGCAAGCGUUAUCCGGAUUUACUGGGUGUAAAGGGGGCGCAGACGGCGAUGCAAGCCAGCAGUGAAAGCCCGGGGCACAACCCCGGGACUGCUGUUGGAACUGCGUGGCUGGAGUGCAGGAGGGGCAGGCGGAAUUCGUGGUGUAGCGGUGAAAUGCGUAGAUAUCAGGAGGAACACCGGUGGCGAAGGCGGCCUGCUGGACUGCAACUGACGUUGAGGCCCGAAAGCGUGGGGAGCAAACAGGAUUAGAUACCCCAGUAGUC